AUACCCCGGUAGUCCUGGCCCUAAACGAUGUCAACUAGGUCGGAGUCACUCUGACGUGUUUCUGGCCGAAACAAAAGCGUUAAGUUGACCGCCUGGGGAGUACGGUCGCAAGGCUAAAACUCAAAGGAAUUGACGGGGGCUCACACAAGCGGUGAGUAUGUUGCUCAAUUCGAUGCAACGCGAAGAACCUUAUCCUGGGCUUGACAUGCUUGGAUGCCUGCCUUGAAAGAGAAUAGGCUACCCUUCGGGGUGAAACUUGCACAGGUGCUGCAUGGCUGUCGUCAGCUCGUGUCGUGAGAUGUCGGGUUAAGUCCCUUAACGAGCGAAACCCUUAUCGUUAAUUGCCAGCGGGUUAUGCCGGGAACUUUAACGAGACUGCCGGUGUUAAACCGGAGGAAGGUGGGGAUGACGUCAAGUCCUCAUGGCCUUUAUGCCCAGGGCUGCAAACGUACUACAAUGGCGAUGACAAACCGACGCAAAACCGCGAGGUCAAGCAAAUCGGAAAAAAGUCGCCCCAGUUCGGAUUGGAGGCUGCAACCCGCCUCCAUGAAGUUGGAAUCGCUAGUAAUCGCGGAUCAGCUAUGCCGCGG
rnacentral:rRNA from 1 species